rnacentral:rRNA from 2 species
UACGGGGGGUGCAAGCGUUGUCCGGAAUGAUUGGGCGUAAAGCAUCUGUAGGUGGUUUUUAAAGUCGACUGUUAAAGCCCAGGGCUCAACUUUGGAUAAGCGGUCGAGUACUUAAGGACUUGAGUAUGGUAGGGGUAGAGGGAAUUCCUAGUGGAGCGGUGAAAUGCACAGAGAUUAGGAAGAACACCGAGGGCGAAAGCACUCUACUGGGCCAUGACUGACACUGAGAGAUGAAAGUUGGGGGAGCGAAAAGG